AAGACCUUGCACUUUUGGAGCGGCCGAUGUCUGAUUAGCUAGUUGGUGGGGUAAUGGCCUACCAAAGCUUCGAUCAGUAGCUGGUCUGAGAGGACGGCCAGCCACACUGGGACUGAGACACGGCCCAGACUCCUACGGGAGGCAGCAGUGGGGAAUUUUGGACAAUGGGCGCAAGCCUGAUCCAGCCAUGCCGCGUGAGUGAAGAAGGCCUUCGGGUUGUAAAGCUCUUUCAGUCGGGAAGAAAAGGUUGCGACUAAUAAUCGCAAUUCAUGACGGUACCGAAAGAAGAAGCACCGGCUAGCUACGUGCCAGCAGCCGCGGUAAUACGUAGGGUGCGAGCGUUAAUCGGAAUUACUGGGCGUAAAGGGUGCGCAGGCGGUUUUGUAAGUCAGAUGUGAAAUCCCCGGGCUUAACCUGGGAACU
rnacentral:rRNA from 1 species